rnacentral:rRNA from 1 species
GAAUUCAGUGAAUCAUCGAAUCUUUGAACGCACAUUGCGCCCAUUAGUAUUCUAGUGGGCAUGCCUGUUCGAGCGUCAUUUCAACCCUUAAGCCCCUGUUGCUUAGCGUUGGGAGCCUACAGCCUGCUGUAGCUCCUUAAAGGUAGUGGCGGAGUCGGUUCACACUCUAGACGUAGUAAAAUCUUUAUCUCGCCUAUGGAUGAGCCGGCGCCUUGCCGUAAAACCCCUAAUCUUUCACAAGGUUGACCUCGGAUCAGGUAGGAAUACCCGCUGAACUUAAGCAUAUCAAUAAGCGGAGGAAAAGAAACCAACAGGGAUUGCCCUAGUAACGGCGAGUGAAGCGGCAACAGCUCAAAUUUGAAAUCUGGCCUUCGGGUCCGAGUUGUAAUUUGCAGAGGAUGCUUUGGGCGCGGUGCCUUCCGAGUUCCCUGGAACGGGACGCCUUAGAGGGUGAGAGCCCCGUACGGUUGGACACCAAGCCUCUGUAAAGCUCCUUCGACGAGUCGAGUAGUUUGGGAAUGCUGCUCUAAAUGGGAGGUAAAUUUCUUCUAAAGCUAAAUAUUGGCCAGAGACCGAUAGCGCACAAGUAGAGUGAUCGAAAGAUGAAAAGCACUUUGAAAAGAGGGUUAAAUAGCACGUGAAAUUGUUGAAAGGGAAGCGUUURCGACCAGACCUUUUCSCAGCGGAUCAUCCGGUGUUCUCACCGGUGCACUUCGCUGGGUUGAGGCCAGCAUCGGUUUCCGCAGGGGGAUAAAAGCCUGGGGAACGUAGCUCCCUCGGGAGUGUUAUAGCCCCUCGCAUAAUACCCUUGCGGGGACCGAGGACCGCGCU